AUGAGCCACUGUGCCCAGCCUCUUUUUACCUUUUCAACAAAGUCACUGAAACACUUCAAAUUAUAUGUCUUUAUAUUUCUAUGGAACAGUGCUGUUCCUGAUUCUCAUCUGAGCCCUCUUGAUGUCUUUGUAGCAGGAAGUGUCUCCAGAGCCCCUAAGGCUGGUGAGCUCAUACCUCAGAGAGAAUGUCCACCAGGGCCUUCUGGGGCCGCUCCUGCAAGUGGUUCUGAUACUGGGCCAGGACCUGCAGCAGCUUCACUGACUUCCUCAGCACCUCCUGGUCCUGGUCCCCACAGAGGAGCAGAGGGAUGCUGCACAAAUGGAGGUCUUCAAAAGACUGUAACAGCUACCAGGAGGAAGAGGGGCUCAGGAAGUGGCCCAGUACAUCCUCACAACUCAACCUCCCUUCCCCCUUCAACUCCUCCCAGGAAGCCUCGGGUGCCUAGUCGCACUCCAUGAAUGCCUCUGAAGCUGCUCUCAGGGAAACGAAUCUUGCCUCCCUGCCCCAUCUCCGCUAGGAUUUCUGAAGUACCGUCUGCAAGUGGUUCUGGGACUGGGACUGGAGCUGAGCCUUGGCAGCUUUCUUUUUGUUUUUUGAGAUGGAGUCUUGCUCCAUUGCCCAGACUGGAGUGCAGUGUCGUGAUCUCUGCUCACUGCAACCUCCACCUCUCAGGUUCAAGCAAUUCUCCUGCCUCAGCACCCACAGUAGCUGGGGAUUACAGGUGUGCAUCACCACACCCAGCUAAUUUUUGUAUUUUUAGUAGAGAUGAAGUGUCAACCUGUUGGCCAGGCUGGUCUCGAACUCCUGACCUCAGGUGAUCCACCCGCCUCGUCCUCCCAAAGUGCUGGGAUUACAGGUGUGAGCCACUACCGCUCCCAGCCACAAGAGUACCUUCUACAGUCCCUAGAUUGCUCUGCUGAAAUUCUCAGCCACUGGAUCUUCUCUCCACAGCCCGGUCUGAGCUCCACUCAGGCUGAUCCGGCGGGCCUGGGUCUUAACUGCUCUUCCCCUUGUCAGGGCUCCUCAGAGAGUGGGCUACUCCAAUCAGCUGAAUGCCCUGCAGGCCUAAGGGAGCCCACCCCACCCAGCGCUCACUGCUCCCAGCAAGUGUACCUAAGAGGCCGGGUAACGCAAGCACCAGAAAGAAA
rnacentral:lncRNA from 13 species